CCCUUAGAUGUUCUGGGCCGCACGCGUGCUACACUGAGUGGAUCAGCGGGUCAGGUUGCGCGAAAGUGUUUCCUAAUCUUUAAAUCCGCUCGUGAUGGGGAUUGACGGUUGCAAUUUUCCGUCAUGAACGAGGAAUACCUUGUAAGCGCGGGUCAUCAUCCCGCGCUGAAUACGUCCCUGCCCUUUGUACACACCACCCGUCGCUCCUACCGAUUGAGUGGUCCGGUGAGGCUUUGGGAUCUGGGCGGAAAGAGCGUUUCGCUGUUUCUGCCCGGAAAACUCAGUCGAACCUUAUCAUUUAGAGGAAGGAGAAGUCGUAACA
rnacentral:rRNA from 1 species